rnacentral:rRNA from 1 species
UACGGGGGGGGCAAGCGUUGUUCGGAAUUACUGGGCGUAAAGGGCUCGUAGGCGGCCAACUAAUUCGGAUGUGAAAUCCCCAGGCUCAACUUGGGAACUGCAUCCGAUACUGGAUGGCUUGAGGUUGGGAGAGGGAUGCGGAAUUCCAGGUGUAGCGGUGAAAUGCGUAGAUAUCUGGAGGAACACCGGUGGCGAAGGCGGCAUCCUGGACCAAUUCUGACACUGAGGAGCGAAAGCCAGGGGAGCAAACGGG